rnacentral:tRNA from 1 species
AGGAUUAUAUUUAAUUAUAAUAUUUAGUUUGCAACUAAAAAGUGUUCUACUAAGAAUUAAUCUUU